GUGCGCUGCGCACGCGAGAGGACGAACGCGCUCCAAGCUACGUCGAUUUAAUCCAGAUACCUGUCUCUCACGCUAACAACGCCCAGCGCCUCGUAGCUACAUUGUCAACAAACUAUCAUCUGUGUCGGAUUCAGGCUGUCUCUCCCACGUCUGUGAGCAUGGCUCAGGAAGGCGAGUUGGACGCCGGAUUCUUUUCUUUAGCGCUCGGCGGCCAAGACGUGACGUCCGUCAGCCUCACGCCGAUGGACACCAAGGGUUCGAGCUUCUGCGGGCAGCUGACGCGCGCGACGGUGGUGCUGGGCGACGGCGCGGAGCUGCGGCUGGUGGUGAAGCGGCCGCCGGAGGACGCGCAGGUGGCGUCCGC